CAAUAUCAAAUGCAAAUUACCAUCAUUAUAGUUUCUCGCAGUGUAUAUAUGCAAAACAGAGUUCUUUGACGUUAGCUGCCUUAGAUUAUUGCAGGGCGUGAGAUGUUAUACUGAAACAUCAAAGAUUCCUUAUCAUCUGUAGCAGAGCAAGCAGGUAACGAUAUAAUUAAACUCCUAGUAGCCGAUUAAAGUUCAAGCUUAAUUUGAUUUUGUUUCUAAUACACUGAAAUGACUAUUAUUUACCAACGAUCCAAGCUUUGUCCGAAACCCAGUAGUUACAUAUACUUUUGAGUUAUCCCUAUAGUAUGUUGCCGUUCCGUCCAGUCUACGGUUCUGACUAUACUCAUGCAGGCUAUAUAGCCGUUGAAUAAGCUAGGAUUCUGUGAUGACUGAUGUAUCGUGUUAUUAGCAGAUUUUCCGCUAUGAGUGAAGUGCGAAAUUCAUAGUAAUGCUACAAAAUGGUUGUAUUUUGUUACUAAGUUAAAUAAAUUGAUGGUGUAUGGCGCCACAAUUUAGAAUUUUACCUUUGAAUUAGUAUGAGGAAAUGUUACACUGUAGGUUGUGUAUGUACUAUGUAUUUAUUACAUUUGUCAUAUCUGCCCCAACUUUAAUCAUAAUAUACUUUUAUGUCCCAUUCAACUCUAAUCUUAUACACUAUUUACCCCAAGACAUAUAAAGUCGAAAUAAAAUUGUAUAUAUAGUGAAUGCGCCUGCCGGUAUAUGGAAUCGUGACACCUUGCUUCUGGCAGAAACUGACCGCCUGAAUUGUGCAUAUUUCUCUAGGUUUAUAAGGGCAGUUCAAGUGUCGACAAAAUGAAUGUUCUUUGGGCGAUCAUUUGGUUUCUAGUCCUAUUAUUUAUCGCAUGGCCAGUUGGAUUUUUCUGUGCCGGUUGGUACAUUUGUUGUUCGCCGUUCGAGGCUUGUAUAUCAGCAUGUAAGUCAAUCACAGACUUACUCAUGAAAGGAUUGUCAUUUCCACUUAACGUUGCGAAGCAUAUGGUUGAGGGAAAGACUGGCUGGUAAUAAUUUUGGGAGUUCUGUAUUUCUUCUGUUCAUGGCUAUAUGAUGGCAUGGGGGAAUAUUUGCUGUACCUGCUGUUACCGUAGCAACGGUAAUUAAUUAUGAAAAGGACGACAUAACAAUUACUAUUUAGCAUUUUAGCACGGCAUGCAUGGAACUCACCGUUCACUAGACAAAAUGUAAGAUAUAUAACUUAAAAUAUAUAUAUAUAG